rnacentral:lncRNA from 1 species
AGUAGUAAGGAGGCGAGGUGGCAGAAUAGUUAGCACGCCGGGCAAAGUACUUAGCAGUAUUUCGUCAUUUUCGCGUUCUGAGUGCAAAUUCCUUUCGAUCGACUAAUUAAGUACCAGUCAAGCUCUGGGGUCGAGGUAAUCGACUUGCUCUAGCCCAAAAUUUCAGGUCAUUAUGCCUAUAAUAGAAGCUUUACGACAGUCUCCGCCAAUGUCAGUUGUGGAAGUUUUCCUCCUUGGUAAGAUUUAGUUCCUCAAUUACCCAAUAGGGGGACAGUGAUGAAUAAUAGCUUCUAACGAGAACUGACAAUAGUGGUGAGGUUGGAGAAUAUUUGAUACCGUCGUCUCCGUUCUUGACUGGUUCUCUAUUUUAUUGACCCCGAAGAGAUGAAGAGAACCUCGGUGAGAUUUGAGCUCAAAACGUAAAAAACUGGAAAAAAUACUGCAUAGCGCAAAGAAGUGCUGUUAAUUUUGGCGCAAUGCAGGAAAUUUCGUUUCGGUAAUUAAAGCAAGCCAUUACAUUUUUUUUAUUUACUCCCCUUUGCUUCAGUCUGGCUUUCGUCGGGGAACCUGCUACACGUGGUAGCAGAUUAUCUUCGUCUCUUUUCUUCUAAGAAAUUAGCGACUUUUGUAUCAAGACUGCCGUGGAAAAUGAUUGUGUCGAAGAUAAUGAUGAAAUAGUGAGUAAAGCAACGAUUUAAUUUAUUUUUUGAAGAGCGUUUUUUCUUUCUACAAACCUCAUAUAACAACUGUAAUGAUGAUGACCCAGUCAUCUUACAAUAGUCAAGAUUUACAUUUUACCCUUCGUAAAUACUGUUCUAUUUAUGAAAAUUGAUAUAUCACUCCGUAUUAUGACCAACAACACCUUCAAACAAUAAAUUUCUCUCUUCUCGCCACAUGCUGACGGUAUAACAAUUAUAAUUUGAUAAAUUAUGUGUAUUCGAGUACCCUUCGGUACUACUAGCGAACAGUGGUCCCGGAGUGCGCACUCGCGCAUCUGCGCUAGCUAGUCGUAAGUAGUUGAUCCUACAACCCCAUUGGCGAUCUUUCGUCUCUAGUAGACCUUUCCGUCGAUUUCCGUAAAAUUUUUUUUUUUUUUACGUAUGGGCUUGCGGGAACUUUUGAAGUAAUAUACAUACAUAUACACAUACACCGAGUAAAAAAUUUCAGUUAUCUCUUUCUUUCACACAUUACUCUGUCUCUUCGCACACACUAACAGAAGCACUUCACUUACACAACAUACUGUCUGUCUCCCACACCCCAUCAAACACACACACAUACACACAUGUACAUCAAUGCUUGCCAUGCACGGUAACUUCAAAAGAACUUCCCUCGUCAUACAAUCGCUUUCUCUUAGUCUCUUUCGCUCUCAUUACUUCAAAAGUUCCCGCAAGCCCAUAUGUAAAAAAAAAAAUUUUUUACGGAAAUCGACGGAAAGGUCUACUAGAGACGAAAGAAUGCCUGAUAGAUUAUGUUUAUUCGAGUACCCUUCGGUACUACUAGCGAACAGUGGUCCCGGAGUGCGCACUCGCGCAUCUGCGCUAGCUAGUCGUAAGUAGUCGAUCCUACAACGCCUUUUUAACCCUAAACCUAAUCUUUGUUUAUAAAAAUAAUUUAUUUACUUAGUUUAAAAAAUUAUUUAGGAUCGACUAUUACGACUAGCUGGCGCGUGUGCUAGUAGUACCGAAAAAGCUUCUGAAAAAACAUCAAAUGUAAUAAAAAUUAUGCAAAUGCUGAAUUUCAAUUCUUCAUUCUAGACACAAUGGAAUUUUCCCCCUACCGGCUUUGUUUCUGUAUAACUUUUCUUAGAUAUGCGGUAUUUUUAACGAAGCUUUCCAUUUUUAAAUGGCGGGGAUAAUAACUAGUGGGGUACUACUAGCGAAUUAACAAGUAGGAAGAACUACUAAUGAAAUAAUUAAAUACAAAUAGUUCACACAAACGGAUACACAAAACCACUCAGUAAAGCAAUUGACAUUGUUUAAAAUAUUAAAAAGAUUAUUAAACCUUUUCAUUACCAUAUUUUUGAUGAAAUGGACUGCCAUUGUUUCAAUUAAUUUCGAAAAUUAUGAAGAAUUUAGUAAAUAGAAUAUUAACAUGGAAUUUCAAUAGGUUUUAAUUUGAUCAGCAGGAAGUUUGUAUUAUAAACCCUGGAGGUGAUCUCAGCCAGGUUGAUAUUGAAACAGUUAAUAUAAUAAUUGAACUAAUGUAGUUGUGAUACCCGUGCUGGUGGCAUGUAAAAAGCACCAUCUGUAUAUAUUUCUUUAUUACCCACAAGGGGCUAAACACAGAGAGGAUAAACAAGGGCAGACAAACGGAUUAAGUCGAUUAAAUCGACCCCAGUGCGUAACUGGUACUUAAUUCAUCGACCCCGAAAGGAUGAAAGGCUAAGUCGACCUCGGCGAAAUUUGAACUCAGAACGUGAAGGCAGACGAAAUACGGCUACGCAUUUCGCCCGGCGUGCUAACGUUUCUGCCAGCGCUGCCUGACUGGCGUCUGUGUUGGUGACACGUAAAAAGCAUCACCUGAUUGUGGCCAUUUGCCAGUCUCCUCUGGCCCCUGUGCCAGUGGCACGUAAAAAGCACCCACUACACUCACGGAGUGGUUGGUGUUAGGAAGGGCAUCCAGCUGUAGAAACACUGCCAGAUCAGACUGGAGCCUGGCGCAACCUCCUGGCUUCCCAGGCCCCGGUCGAACCAUCCAACCCAUGCUAGCAUGGAAAACGGACGUUAAACGAUGAUGAUGAUGUUCUGGUUCCAUCUUGUCUGGAAAUUCUGGUCAAAAGGAGGAUCCAUGCAUGAUAUCUAAAUACUCUCCAUCUUUCACCGUGCUAUCAUGUUGACUCAUUAAUAUAAGAAAGCUUUUUAUAUUAAAUGAGCAGUGUCGCCUGGCGUUGCUCGGGUUUGUAAGGGAAAUAACUAUAUAAGCAUUUUUAGAGAGUUACUUCCCUUAUGGAUGCCAAUUCGGGCUUUCUUAGCCAUUUCUGUUUUGGUGUCUUCAAGCCAUGAAGUCGUUGUUCUAAAAGAACGCUGGUCUCCUUGACAACGCUUUACGACGUUGAUUUCCUUACACUCCCUUCCCCACAGCUUCACGAGGGAGGGAAGAAGGGGAAGAAGCAAACAGGUGCAGCUGUGAGCGUGGACGCCAACUCUGCCGCCAUCGACACACGAAAAAAUAUGCAUUAAAAUGGAAUAAAAAAAUGAUGUUAAAUUAUUUUUAAAAUCGUAGACGCGCGCUAAUACCCAGACGGGCUCGAUAUGAAUCACGACUAUAAGCUACCCGAAUUUGGUUAAACUGCACCGCAAAAUGUGGGAGUAGUUAGGAAUCUAAAUCGAAGGGGACAGACACUCACACAACUACAGUUUUAUAUAUAUAGAUGUAUUUCAUGGACUGAGUUUUGGUCACGAUUGCAAAUAUUUCCCAAAUUAGGUGUAUAACUAAGUACUUAAUUUUUUGAAAUAAAACUGCAUUUAGUCAUUAUAGCUUAUUUGCUGAAGGACAUUUGCCAAUUCUUUUUACUAGUUCUGUGGCCCACCUGUAACUGAUGUUUGCACAGAAUACUUUGUUCAGCUAAUUGUUUUACUGCAAAUAUCUGAUCUUAUACGUUGCUUUAACCCUUUAGUGUUCAGAUUAUUCCAUCAAACAUAAUACUUAUUGAUUCCCAUUGAUUUGAAUUAAUCAUGCAUUAUCUCAUAUCUUCAAGAUCUUGAUGGUGUAAUUACUUAAUGUAGAAUAACAUUGUAGGGUAGGUGUGAGGGCCUGGAUCUGGUCAGUUUGAACAUAAAACGGAUUAGCUAUUUUGGCCGGAUAUGGCCGGUUUAAAUACUAAAGGGUUAACCCUUUAGUAUGCUGUUGUAAAUGUCAUUCAACCUGCUAAAAAAAACAGCCAAAUAUCACUCUUGCAAAAGAAGAUAGGAUGAUCUCAACUGGAAUGCUUUUGAUCAGUCAGGAUUGCAUGGUGGUGUUGUGGUUGAUCUUCAAGGAAAUAGUUUCCGUUUAGUUUUUUUUUUCAAAUUGCUGAUACUAUUCAUUACAACUUCUGACAGAAGUAUCCCUGUUUUUCAGUGAUAAGGUGGGGGUUUGAUCUCUGAUUGCACAGAGCCAGAGCAGAUACACUGCAAGGCAUCCAGACCAGUGUUCUAACAAUACUGCCAGCUGACUGCACUGGGCUGGAAUUUUUAUCAACCUUGAAGGAUGAAAGGCAAAGUAGACUUUGGUAGGAUGUGAACUCAGAACACGGAGAUUCAACAAACACCACAUGGCAUUUGUGCCUGGUGCUAAAUAUUUUUUUUUCUGGUUUGGCCAGUCAAUGUCUGUCAAUUCUUCAUCUAUCACUAUAUUUAGGUUAAUUUUGCUACAUUCACUGAUUACUGUUCCAAAUAACCAUAGUGGAACAUACUCUGCUUUAGGUUUUGGAUGUUUCAUUGAAUAAGUUCAUUUCAAAGAACUCCCUGAAGUAUGUAAAAUGAACAGUGAUGCUAGUACAUACAGUAACUACUGUACAUGAGAUUUGGUGAACCUUUAGUCACUUAACCUACAAAAACAGCAGCUAAAUUCCUUUACAUCCUAUCAUUAAAAAAUAGCCCCCUCAAAUAAUGCAUUAAAUAAUGUUAGUCCUUGAUACAAAAACACUGGAUGAUCUCACUGGAAUGGCUUUGAUCAUAGGUCUGUUCCUGCUCAUUUAGGGAACAUCUCUCUCUCUAUAUAUAUAUAUAUAUAAAUGGCAAAAUGUGUGUGUGUGUGCAUGUCCUUUAUACAGGUCCACAAUUUUUCAGUUGGAGGGCUUGCCCUUUCUAUGGUCAUCAAAAACCAUCCAGAGCCAUUGAAAGAUCAAUGGAAGUGACUUUUUUGUGAAUUUUCUAUCCAAAACCUAAUCAAAAUGCCCGAAGCUUGAUACGCCAAUUGAAUGCCAGCUAACUGUGUGUGAUUUGGACAGUACUCGCGUGUAUGUGCGCACGCACGCAUCUGUAUAUGCAUGCACUAGCACUAUGACCCGGCGUUGCCGGGUCAUAGUGCUAGUUUGGGUUAAUCAACAACUUGUGGCUUGAACACAUUUGAAACUUUUGGGUUAUAACUAAUUCUUAAGUAAGACCUGUGUGUCUCAUUAAAUUUCAACCCUGCAUAAUUUCUAUGGCUUUUUAAUAUUCAUCAAAAAGUUCAGUAUAUAUAAUUCUUCUGUCUAAGGUGGCUAGCUUUGUGGAAUUUCUCUUGGUUUUUCUUUAUACUCUUUUACUUGUUUCAGUCAUUUGACUGCGGCCAUGCUGGAGCACCGCCUUUAGUCGAGCAAAUUGACCCUGGGACUUAUUCUUUGUAAGCCCAGUACUUAUUCUAUCGGUCUCUUUUGCCGAACCGCUAAGUGACGGGGACGUAAACACACCAGCAUCGGUUGUCAAGCAAUGCUAGGGGGACAAACACAGGCACACACACACACACACAUACAUAUAUACGACAGGCUUGUUCUAAUUUCAAUUAAUGCUGAGGUCAACUUUGCCUCAUUUAUCCUUUUGGUGGUUGAUAAAAUAAAGUAAGUCAAGUACAUCAACUUCCCGCUCCCAACCUCAAAAAUUUCUGGCCUUGUGCCAAAAUUAGAAUCAUCAUCAUUUUUUGUGUCUUUUUUUUUUUUUUUUUUUUUUGCUGUCAAGGUUGGACAAGAAUUCUUGAAGCGGUAUUCUAUGGCAGAUUACACUUCCUGAGGCCAUUCCUUAUUUAUUUUCAACUUAUUGACAACCGAUGCUGGUGUGUUUACGUCCCCCGUAACUUAGCGGUUCGGCAAAAAGAGAUCGAUAGAAUAAGUACUAGGCUUACAAAGAAUAAGUCCUGGGGUCGAUUUGCUCGACUAAAAAAAUGGUGAAGCUCCAGCAUGGCCACAGUCAAAUGACUGAAACAAGUAAAAGAAUAAGGUUCUUCAUUCCCUAGCUCUUCAACUAUGAAAUCACUGAACUACAGGGCAUUAUGUAGAACAAAUGUUAUUGUGCCCAAGUUGUAUCACUGCAUGGUAGAGACACACAUAUUUGUGUACACAUAUACAAAAGGCGCAAGCAUAGCUGUCUGGUUUGCUUCUCAAUCAUGUACUUUUGGAGUCAGUCCUACUGUAUGGAAGUGUUUUUUUACAUAACUUUAUUUUUUUGUCUGGAGCAGUAAAUUUACUAUAAUAGAAUUUCAUAUCAUCAUCAAUAUCAAUAUAUUAAAGUGAUAUCAUCAUCAUCAUCAUCAUCGUUUAACGUCCGCUUUCCAUGCUAGCAUGGGUUGGACGGUUCAACUGGGGUCUGGCAAGCCCGAAGGCUGCACCAGGCCAGUCAGAUCUGGCAGUGUUUCUACAGCUGGAUGCCCUGCCUAACGCCAACCACUCCGAGAGUCGAAAGGAUGAAAGGCAAAGUCAACCUCGGCGGAAUUUGAACUCAGAACGUAACGACAGAAGAAAUACCUAUUUCUUUACUACCCACAAGGGGCUAAACACAGAGAGGACAGACAAGGGGAUUAAGUCGAUUACAUCUACCCCAGUGUGUAACUGGUACUUAAUUUAUCGACCCCGAAAGGAUGAAAGGCAAAAUUGACCUAGGCGGAAUUUGAACUCAGAACAUAGCGGCAGCUGAAAUGCCUAUUUCUUUACUACCCACAAGGGGCUGAACAUAGAGGAGACAAACAAGGACAGACAAAGGAAUUAAGUCGAUUACAUCUACCCCAGUGUGUAACUGGUACUUAAUUUAUCGACCCCGAAAGGAUGAAAGGCGAAAUCGACCUCGGCGGAAUUUGAACUCAGAACGUAGCGGCAGACGAAAUACCUAUUUCUUUACUACCCACAAGGGGCUAAACACAGAGGAGACAGACAAGGGGAUUAAGUCGAUUACAUCUACCCCAGUGUGUAACUGGUACUUAAUUUAUCGACCCCGAAAGGAUGAAAGGCGAAAUCGACCUCUGCGGAAUUUGAACUCAGAACGUAGCGGCAGACGAAAUACCUAUUUCUUUACUACCCACAAGGGGCUAAACACAGAGGAGACAGACAAGGGGAUUAAGUCGAUUACAUCUACCCCAGUGUGUAACUGGUACUUAAUUUAUCGACCCUGAAAGGAUGAAAGGCAAAGUUGACCUCGGCGGAAUUUGAACUCAGAACGUAACGACAGAAGAAAUACCUAUUUCUUUACUACCCACAAGGGGCUAAACACAGAGAGGACAGACAAGGGGAUUAAGUCGAUUACAACUACCCCAGUGUGUAACUGGUACUUAAUUUAUCGACCCCGAAAGGAUGAAAGGCGAAAUCGACCUCGGCGGAACUUGAACUCAGAAUGUAGUGGCAGAUGAAAUACUGCCAAGCAUUUCACCUGGCGUGCUAACGUUUCUGCCAGCUCGCCACCUUUCAGAUUGCUCUGUCAGAUGUAAUGCUUAGGUAUUCACAUUGUUUUCAAUUCAGCAUUAAUUAUCUUGUAGCUUUCAGAUUUCAAUGGUGUGAUUGCUUAUUUUUAGAAUGACAUUACAGGGUAUGUUUGGUCGGUUUCAGCAUAAAUUAGACAAAAUAUUUCAACUGGAUAUGUCUGGUUUAAUCCUUUAGCAUUCAGGUUACUCUAUCAAAUGUAAUACUUAUUUAUUCACAUAGUUUUAAGUUAACCCUUUAGUGUUCAAAUUUCUCUAUUAAAUGUAAUACUUUUUCACUCAGAUUGUUUUGAAUUAAUCAUGCAUUACCUUAUAGCUUUGAGGUUUCAAUGAUGUGAUUGUUUGUUUUUAGAAUGUCAAUGUAGGUUAGGUGUGAGAGGCUAGAUAUGGCCAGUUUGAAUAUAAAAUAUGUAGAAUAUAUUGGGCCGGAUUUGGCCGGUUUAAGCACUAAAGGGUUAAACAAACAUUAUCUUGUGGCUUCGAGAUUUCAAUGAUGUGAUUUACUCUUUCACUUGUUUCAGUCAUUUGACUGCGACCAUGCUGAGCACCACCUUUAGUUGAUCAAAUCGACCCCGGGACUUAUUCUUUGUAAGCCCAGUACUUAUUCUAUUGGUCUCUUUUGCCGAACCGCUAAGUGGCAGGGACAAAAACACACCAGCAUCGGUUGUCAAGCAAUGCUAGGGGGACAAACACACGCACAUACAUAUAUAGGACGGGCUUCUUUCAGUUUCCAUCUACCAAAUCCACUCACAAGGCAUUGGUCGGCCCGGGGCUAUAGCAGAAGACACUUGCCCAAGAUGCCACGCAGUGGGACUAUACCCGAAAACAUGUGGUUGGUAAACAAGCUACUUACCAGGCAGCCGCUCCUGCGCCUGUCUAUUUUUUAAAGUUUGCUUUGUCUUACAUUAUUUUUUUCUCUGUAAUUUCAGAUUAUCUGGUGAUAUUGGCAUCUACAGACGCUUUUACAUCAACGAUUAUUAAAAUCUGUGAAAAAGAGAUAAACAUCUGCAUAUUUUGGUGUGAGAAGAAUAAAUACGGAAAAUGAAUUCUGUGAAAGCAACUCAGUCUAUAAAAGGAUUGAUUCUUCUGCUGCUACAGAAGAAGGAACAGGUAAGAUAUUAUGCCAUUGUGAUAUCUGUAAG